ensembl:lncRNA
AGCAGAGUUGAGUGUCUUGGUUCUUACGUUGGCCUGCCUGAGGAAGCCAUCUGGACGGAGGAAAUUUGCCUUAAACCUUGGCAAGAGAACUUUGUUCUGUUUGAACUUUGUUUAAAGCCUCAGAGUGGGUGAUCAUUUUGUUUAAACUUUCCUUAAAACAAAGAGUGGGAGAUUCCCCGCAAUUAACAACAGGAACCUUUGUCCCAUCUUAACAGAUCUGAUAGGAAAAAAAAAUGCAAGGACUGUUCUGACAUCCAUUAAUGCAGUUCAGUUAGAGGGACGGAAAGGAAGACACAAAGGAGGAAGAUUCUGCAGUCUCAGGAGAGGUUAAGUCGAUUACUGAAGGACUGAUGCUGAAGCUGAAGCUACAAUACUCUGGCCGCCUGAUUCGAAGAACCAACUCAUUGGAAAAGACCCUGAUGCUGGGCAAGAUUGAAGGCAGGAGGAGAAGGGGACGACAGAGGAUGAGAUGGUUGGAUGGCAUCACCGACUCAAUGGACAUGAGUUUAAGCAAUCUCUGGGAGUUGGUGAAGGACAGGAGAGCCUGGCAUGCAGUCCAUGAGGUCGCAGUCCAACAGUCACAAGGUCUGACUCUUUGAGUCCAAAGAGUCACACACGACUGAGCGACUGAACUGAAUAUAUAUGUGUUGAGCCCCUGAAGUGGUUUCCCUGGAAAUCCUCCUUAGGCACAGCUGUUCUCAGGAAAAUGUCUACAAGAGUUAUCUCAGGACCUCCCAGCCUUUCCCUUUGCUGUUCCCAGCUCUUGACUUGAAGAGUUUUUAAGUAAAAUUUAAUUAUAUGAGAUUAUUCCCCACUUCCCCAAGGUUAACUGUCUUGAAUUUGCAUUGGAAGGUGGAGAGGGAGAGUUCAGCAUAUAUCUGGUCCUUUAAGGAACCCAUCACAUGCCACCCUCAGCAGCCUGAGGAGACAGGUGUAAUAUGAGGCCCUGAGGCCCGGAG